CGGUGUUUAACUGGCGUGAUGUGGGACGUCCUACCGGUGGGCUUAGCCUCGCGAGGGGCGGCCCAACUAAUAUCCCGUCGCGGUGCUCUUUACUGAGUGUCGAGUCGGGCCGGUACUUUUACUUUGAACAAAUUAGAGUGCUUAAAGCAGGCUAUCCUCGCCUGAAUACUGCGUGCAUGGAAUAAUGGAAUAGGACCUCGGUUCUAUUUUGUUGGUUUUCAGAACCCCGAGGUAAUGAUUAAUAGGGACAGAUGGGGGCAUUCGUAUUGCGACGUUAGAGGUGAAAUUCUUGGAUCGUCGCAAGACGGACAGAAGCGAAAGCAUUUGCCAAAAAUGUUUUCAUUAAUCAAGAACGAAAGUUAGAGGUUCGAAGGCGAUCAGAUACCGCCCUAGUUCUAACCAUAAACGAUGCCAGCUAGCGAUCCGCCGAAGUUCCUCCGAUGACUCGGCGGGCAGCUUCCGGGAAACCAAAGCUUUUGGGUUCCGGGGGAAGUAUGGUUGCAAAGCUGAAACUUAAAGGAAUUGACGGAAGGGCACCACCAGGAGUGGAGCCCUGCGGCUUAAUUUGACUCAACACGGGAAACCUCACCAGGCCCAGACACCGGAAGGAUUGACAGAUUGAUAGCUCUUUCUUGAUUCGGUGGGUGGUGGUGCAUGGCCGUUUUUAGUUGGUGGAGCGAUUUGUCUGGUUAAUUCUGAUAACGAACGAGACUCUAGCCUGCUAAAUAGGCGUACCUUAUGGUAUCGCGAAGGCCCCCGGCUUCGGCCGGUGGGUUUUUACUACCAACGUACAAACAAAUCUUUUUAGAGGGACAGGCGG
rnacentral:rRNA from 1 species